UACGUAGGCAGCGAGCGUUGUUCGGAGUUACUGGGCGUAAAGGGUGUGUAGGCGGUUGUUUAAGUUUGGUGUGAAAUCUCCCGGCUCAACUGGGAGGGUGCGCCGAAUACUGAAUGACUAGAGUGCGGGAGAGGAAAGUGGAAUUCCUGGUGUAGCGGUGAAAUGCGUAGAUAUCUGGAGGAACACCGGUGGCGAAGGCGGCAUCCUGGACCGGCAUUGACGCUGAUGAGCGAAAGCCAGGGGAGCAAACGGG
rnacentral:rRNA from 1 species